rnacentral:tRNA from 1 species
UUAGAGCAUAGACUUACUAUGCUAUUGUUUCCUUUUCUUUCAAAAAUUAGUUCUUUGUAUGAACCCGAUUAAACGGGCUACUUAGAUCCGUAGCUCAGCCUGGUUAGAGCACUACACUGAUAAUGUAGGGGUCACCAGUUCAAAUCUGGUCGGGUCUACUAAUGCUUAUAGCUAUCAGCCCAAAUGAUAGUAUUAUAAUGGGGGGGUUAGCUCAGUUGGCUAGAGCAUCUGCCUUGCACGCAGAGGGUCAUCGGUUCGACUCCGAUAUCCUCCACUUAAUCUAAUGAUAGAGACAUAAGGUCUUAGGUUCAAUUCUAACUAUCGACUAUUGCAUUACAAUGCAAAGUUCUUUGACAUAUUGGAAAAAUGUAAGUGAAGUAUCAUAUCUCGAUAUAAUCGAGUUUCGAUCACAUAUUGUUUUAAAUCACACCAUAAUUUUGGUUGGUCUGAAGAAAUGUGGUCGGGUAACAACUACAAAUUAAAAU